AUGAGAUGGACCCGCGUUGGAUUAGCUAGUUGGUGAGGUAACGGCCCACCAAGGCGACGAUCCAUAGCCGACCUGAGAGGGUGACCGGCCACAUUGGGACUGAGACACGGCCCAAACUCCUACGGGAGGCAGCAGUGGGGAAUAUUGCACAAUGGGCGAAAGCCUGAUGCAGCGACGCCGCGUGAGCGAAGAAGUAUUUCGGUAUGUAAAGCUCUAUCAGCAGGGAAGAUAAUGACGGUACCUGACUAAGAAGCACCGGCUAAAUACGUGCCAGCAGCCGCGGUAAUACGUAUGGUGCAAGCGUUAUCCGGAUUUACUGGGUGUAAAGGGAGCGCAGGCGGUGCGGCAAGUCUGAUGUGAAAGCCCGGGGCUCAACCCCGGUACUGCAUUGGAAACUGUCGUACUAGAGUGUCGGAGGGGUAAGCGGAAUUCCUAGUGUAGCGGUGAAAUGCGUAGAUAUUAGGAGGACACCAGUGGCGAAGGCGGCUUACUGGACGAUAACU
rnacentral:rRNA from 1 species